rnacentral:lncRNA from 1 species
CCCUUGGGCCAUCCCUUACAACCAUGUUUUUGACUUCUUGAAAAUGACUCUUUCACAGGAUGCAGAGGGUUGUCAGUGACUCGGGAGUUGUGGGUGUGCCCGUCUUAUCAAUCCCCACAGCCUUGCCUGUGGAGAUGCCCUAUCUGUCCCCACUCUGUCAAGCCCAGGGAAAGGCGUGGGGUCAGAGGAUUUGGCUCUGUCACACCAUUCACUGCCUGCCCUUCUUCCCAGCGCUUCCAAGAUCUGGUUGUAUUAAACACGAGAAUGAAGAGAGGAAAACACCUUCGCCCACGGUGUGCUCUGGGGACAUCUCCAGGUGUGGGUGGUGGCGUCAGCCACAGGACAGAAAAACCACCUACAAGGACUCCUCAAACUCACAAUAAACAUAGACUGUUCUCAUAGGGCUUUGCCAUGCCUGGAGUUCUUCAACCCAGGAAAAGUGGCUACAAGACCUUGAUGUUCCACUCAGAGGACCAGGGAUUAUGGUGGGAGAGAUGACAUAAGGACUGAAAUCACACAAAGGUGCAAAUGACUAAUGCCAGUAGGUUUCUGGAAGCAGGUUCCGUAGACUUGAGGGUGCACUCCGAGGAAAGCUGAGUGAUGAGGAAGCACCAGGAAGGAAGUGCUCAGAAAAGGGGAGGCCGGUGGCUGGAGUGACUCCUGGUCUAGCAGUUCUUCAUGUCCAUCUUGUUUUCAUGCCAAGGGAAUUUCAGCCUUACCUUUGCCCAGGUUUGGGUGGCAAUGAUAGGGACAGGAGAAGGGAAAUUCUGGGCAGAAGUGGGUGGGUCUCCAGCAAGGGCCUCACCCUCAAGCCUAAAACUAUGGCCCAAAGUGAGAACAUUCCUGUUUUCCUGCUUGACUGUUGCCUUUUCCAAAACCACCCAUGGCCCGCCCCACUCCUAACCUGUGCCCAAGAAAGCCCCAGGCUCCACUAGCAGAGAGAGAAGAGAAGAAGCAGUUGGAUGUCAGAGACUAUGGUUGAAUGUCGGAGAGAAGGGGCUUGACUUCAGAGGGACAGCUUGAUGGCAUAGCUUUGGAGAGGAGUCUGGCCAGGGAUGGCCAGACUCCGGGGGAAGAUUACCUACCCACUCCCUCCCCUUCUCAGCUCCCCUUCUCACUGAGAGCCACUUUCAUCAGCAAUAAAAUCCCCUGCAUUUAUCAUCUCCAAUUUGUUUGUGUGACCUCAUUCCUCCUAGACCUCAGAUAAGAAUUUGAGUGUGGGUGCAAAGGGCUGUCACACUGACCCUCCACUGAGCU